ensembl:lncRNA
GGCUUUAUUAGGAGCCGGCUGAGCUUCCCUCCUGCUCUGGAGUCGUCUCCCCUUCCCCUUCCCCCUGGGCUCCCACUUUUCUCCCUUGCUUUCAGUCCUGCUCUCUGGAUCUAGGGCCUCCCUGACCACCCUGAACUGUGGGGAACUGGGGCUCCAGAUGGGGUGGAAAAGCCUUCCAGGCAGACGGCAUAGCCAUGGCAAUGGCCUGGAGGGUCUACGGUUCCCAAAAGCUCAAGAGCUCCUGGCUGUGGGGUGAACUUGGGAUCUAAGUGAACUCACAGAGAGUCAGAAAGCUUUGUGAGGUCUCAGCUCAGUUCAAUUCAGUCGCUCAGUUGUAUCCGACUCUUUUCGACCCCAGAACUGCAGCUGAGACUGUGAGGUCUCAGUCCAGCUCAAACUCAGGCCCAAAUCCUAUUUAACAGAUGAGUAAAUUGAGUCUCAGGCAGCCAAAGGCAACCAGCAAGUCAGAAGCACAGAGCGGGUUCCACGCGCAACUCUCAGAACCUGAAACGGAGCUAACAGCCAUGGCCGCGAGAGAAAAAUAGGUCUGAUUCAUUCUCUCCGGGCAUAGGAUGCCCGCUCGCAAAACCCAGCACUAGGGAGCAGACCUAGAAACUCAGAUACGACCAAGACGAAGAGACUGUGCGGGCGGCCACGCAAACCCGAGAAUAAAACACCAGCUGUUCCCCGCCCCCCACAGCUUCUCGCGGCCUUCAGCUCGGAGAGUCCCGCCUCUUCGCUAGGCCGAGCGAAGUGGGCGGGGCGGGGGCGGGGCCUAGCCACGAACGGCAGGUAGCCUUGCCAAUCAUGCUUUCGCUACCUCCGAUUGGCCC